rnacentral:rRNA from 1 species
UGCAAGUCGAACGAAGUAGCAAUACUUAGUGGCAGACGGGUGAGUAACAUGUAGGUAUCUGCCCUUUGGCCUGGAAUAACACGAGGAAACUUGUGCUAAUACCGGAUAAGUCUUCACGGAGAAAGCUUUAUGCACCAUUGGAUGAGCCUGCACUUGAUUAGUUUGUUGGUGGGGUAAUGGCCUACCAAGACUGUGAUCAAUAGCUGAUUUGAGAGGAUGAUCAGCCACAUUGGGACUGAGACACGGCCCAAACUCCUACGGGAGGCAGCAGUGGGGAAUCUUGCACAAUGGAGGAAACUCUGAUGCAGCGAUGCCGCGUGAGUGAAGAAGGCCUUUGGGUUGUAAAGCUCUUUCGUCGGGGAAGAAAAUGACUGUACCCGAAUAAGAAGGUCCGGCUAACUUCGUGCCAGCAGCCGCGGUAAUACGAAGGGACCUAGCGUAGUUCGGAAUUACUGGGCUUAAAGAGUUCGUAGGUGGUUGAAAAAGUUGGUGGUGAAAUCCCAGAGCUUAACUCUGGAACUGCCAUCAAAACUUUUCAGCUAGAGUAUGAUAGAGGAAAGUAGAAUUUCUAGUGUAGAGGUGAAAUUCGUAGAUAUUAGAAAGAAUACCAAUUGCGAAGGCAGCUUUCUGGAUCAUUACUGACACUGAGGAACGAAAGCAUGGGUAGCGAAGAGGAUUAGAUACCCUCGUAGUCCAUGCCGUAAACGAUGUGUGUUAGACGUUGGAAAUUUAUUUUCAGUGUCGCAGGGAAACCGAUAAACACACCGCCUGGGGAGUACGACCGCAAGGUUAAAACUCAAAUGAAUUGAC